GAUGAACGCUGGCGGCGUGCCUAAUACAUGCAAGUCGAGCGAACGGACGAGAAGCUUGCUUCUCUGAUGUUAGCGGCGGACGGGUGAGUAACACGUGGAUAACCUACCUAUAAGACUGGGAUAACUUCGGGAAACCGGAGCUAAUACCGGAUAAUAUUUUGAACCGCAUGGUUCAAAAGUGAAAGACGGUCUUGCUGUCACUUAUAGAUGGAUCCGCGCUGCAUUAGCUAGUUGGUAAGGUAACGGCUUACCAAGGCAACGAUGCAUAGCCGACCUGAGAGGGUGAUCGGCCACACUGGAACUGAGACACGGUCCAGACUCCUACGGGAGGCAGCAGUAGGGAAUCGUCCGCAAUGGGCGAAAGCCUGACGGAGCAACGCCGCGUGAGUGAUGAAGGUCUUCGGAUCGUAAAACUCUGUUAUUAGGGAAGAACAUAUGUGUAAGUAACUGUGCACAUCUUGACGGUACCUAAUCAGAAAGCCACGGCUAACUGCGUG
rnacentral:rRNA from 1 species